UACGUAGGGGGCGAGCGUUGUCCGGAUUUAUUGGGCGUAAAGAGCGUGUAGGCGGCCAGGUAGGUCGGCUGUGAAAACUCGAGGCUCAACCUCGAGACGUCGGCCGAAACCAUCUGGCUAGAGUCCGGAAGAGGAGAGUGGAAUUCCUGGUGUAGCGGUGAAAUGCGCAGAUAUCAGGAAGAACACCCGUGGCGAAGGCGGCUCUCUGGGACGGUACUGACGCUGAGACGCGAAAGCGUGGGGAGCGAACAGG
rnacentral:rRNA from 1 species